AUUGUGUUCAUGUUAAAGUCAGAGAACAAGGUUUUCCUCUUCCACCCUGUGGCUUCCAUGCCUGGCAGCAAGUUGCCGUGCAUGCCACGCCAUCUCACCGGCUUGAGAGGAUAGCUGCUUCUGUGCUAGUGGUCUCAGGCCCAGUAGUCUAUUGGGGGGAAAUGGGGAAACCAUCUUUGCAGCCAGGAUCUCAGAAAGGGUAUAUAAGACUCAAAGCGCACUUGUCGCGGUCCGGGACCCUUAUCCCACACAAUGACAAAUGUUCAUGAGCAUCUUUUAUUUCAUGUUCCUUGGUAAGAGGCUCUUAAUAGGAGUUCUGUUUCCUAUUUUCUCCUCCCCCAACCAACCCCGCUGCACUUGUAAUCCUUGGAAGGUAAUCCUGCACCCCCCCUGCCCCCCCACACCCACACACAUGCACGCACGCACGCCGCCAGCAUCCUGUACGCAGCAAGGCAUCUCCUUCAACCUGUCCUCGUACCCAGAUGGUCUUGGUCCGGAGGGCUUGGGUAGAAGAUAGGAAGACUGUUUCUAUGUCCUCAUUUGCCACUCAGGCCUAGUCUUACAAGAACAGCCUGACCUAUAUAGAUCUUCACCCAAGCAUCUGCCUGUUUGGGGUCUUCCCAGGAAAGAGCAUCUAUGGUGAGCGCUUCCCAGAUGAGAACUUCAAGCUGAAGCACUAUGGGCCCGGAUGGGUGAGCAUGGCCAAUGCAGGCAAAGACACCAAUGGCUCCCAGUUCUUCAUAACUACAGUCAAGACCUCCUGGCUAGACGGCAAGCACGUGGUUUUCGGCAAAGUUCUGGAAGGCAUGGUAAGUUGAGAAGUGGGGGGUUAAACCUUGGUGGUCCUUACCAAGGAUCCAGCUGGAACAGACAUGGGCUUCAAGAAGGAAAUCUUUACCCCAAAGGCACCUAAGCCACAAAUACAGACAGACCAGUACUUGUUCCUAACCCGGCAUAGGGGUGGGGAAGUGUUGAGAAUAAACGGCCUGACUGAGUGCCAUGCACACACCUAUGGUCCUAGCUUUCAGGGGGCUGAAGCAAGAGGAUCACUUGAACUCCAGAGUCAAGGGCUAGGCUGAACAACCUGAGACCACAGUUUAAGAGUGUCCAUGUGGCUGGCUCCAGCAGAGUGCUUAACCUAGAAUUCCCAGCACCACAAUCAGGAAAACAAAAUGCAGAAUACCUAGCCCACAUCUCCAUGCUCCCAAGGUUCUAAGUCCCUCUAGGCCCCAGACAACCCAUCCAGAAGACCUUGUUGAGUUUGUCCAGCUGCAGGGUCCUCUGUUGGUCACUCACUGAAAUGAGAUGUUCAGACUAUCCAGCAUCAUGCUCUGUGUUCACCCUGGCUCAGUUCACCUCAGUUCCUUAGCUUUUGGCUCCUUUGGCUUCUGUGUUCGUCCCACGUGGGUUUCAGCACUCCUGAGUCACUCCCAGUAGUGACCCCCGACACGAUCUCUCCUGCUUUUCUUCUCUAGGAUGUGGUACGGAAGGUGGAGAACACCAAGACGGACAGCCGGGACAAGCCCCUGAAGGAUGUGAUCAUUGUAGACUGUGGCAAGAUCGAAGUGGAGAAACCCUUUGCCAUUGCCAAGGAGUAGAGAGAGCCUCGGGGACCUCAUCCCUCUAAACAGCUGUCUGUGCGGGUCCUGUCGAUUCCCUCACAGGUGAAAGCAGCCAGUCACAAGGCUCUGUGCGGCUCUGGCUCCAGUGCUUCCAUCCGACGGGGUGGCCACACCCCUCACAUUCCACAGGCCUGAUUUUUAUAUAAAACUCCUACCAAUGCUGAUCAAUAAAGAAGUGGGUUUUUUUAU
rnacentral:lncRNA from 1 species